UACGUAGGGCGCAAGCGUUGUCCGGAAUUAUUGGGCGUAAAGAGCUCGUAGGCGGUUUGUCGCGUCUGAUGUGAAAGCCCACGGCUCAACCGUGGAAGGUCAUUGGAAACUGAAAGGCUUGAGUACAGAAGAGGAAAGCGGAAUUCCACGUGUAGCGGUGAAAUGCGUAGAGAUGUGGAGGAACACCAGUGGCGAAGGCGGCAUCCUGGACCGGCAUUGACGCUGAGGAGCGAAAGCCAGGGGAGCAAACAGG
rnacentral:rRNA from 1 species